CUGAAAUGCCUUUGCUUUUAUGAGAACAAGACUUAAAAAUAUCCCGCUCUGUUUAAGGUGAUCUAAUUUUUCAAAGUUUCAGAAAAAGCACAGAUCAGGCAAUGGUACAAUGUGCAACAGCAGAAAACCAAUGGUUUCAUCUCCCAUAGUGCAGCAGUGCUUUGCGGGAGAAGUCCACCUCCUUCCAAAAAGAGAAUAUGGCAUAUUACUAGCAGUGCAAGUGAUCAAAAUGGAAUACAGAGCUGGAGCCUGACAAAUCUGGUCAACACAACCCACAACUCUUUCAUAAUCUGCAGCUCCAGAGAGGUAUAUGAUUGGACAACUCUGAGGACCAUUCUCCAGGCUGUCCCUAAGCCAAAGACACUAUUCACAUUGUGUUACUUAGGAUCAGAAAAUCUAGAUCUUAAUGCAGAUUUCCAUACAUGCUGAUAUGGAAAUAAAACUUUGGAAUAGCUGCA
rnacentral:lncRNA from 1 species